rfam:Dipodomys ordii contig_63664, whole genome shotgun sequence.
GGGAAUGUGGCUCAGUGGUAGAGUGCUUGCUUAGCAUGCAUGAAGCCCUGGGUUUGAGUCCUCAGCACCA